ensembl:lncRNA
GCGUACCAUUCUGAAUGAUACCCACGCGCCCUGUGCUCGCUCCCGCCACAAACUGGAUUCAUUGGUUAUCGACGCGCGCGCUCCGCAAGUUGCCGUACAACCAGGGGAUUGAACCGUUCACUCGUUCCACGUUAAGUUUUCACCUCGUAAAGGGCGUCCUUAGAGCCUACGGGACUUUGUUGAAUUUGUUUGUGUUAAGAGCCGAGAGAGCGCCACGUUAAACCUCCCGGGGUGAAAGUAUUUCAUUGAGGAUGGUCAGUAAAGUGAUUUAAAUCCGCCGUUCAUGAGCCGUGUCCUGUGGGAACGGUUUUGUUCGCGGCUCGAUAAUGACGAGGGGGCUGCCGGGGUCGUUGCCUACGGUUUAGCACCAGUCGUUUGAAACGUCUUUUCGGUGGAGAAUGAUCUCCGAAGUGUUUUUGCUCUGAUGGAUGAAGCCGUGCUGGUGGAUCCGCUGUUGAAGACGCCGAGGGGAGAUAACAGCAGCAGCACAACACUACAGAGCGACAGCGAAAGCUAAGCCCAUCGACGCCGACGUUAACAUCAGGUCACCCGCUCUGUUCUGACCCAUACAGGCAGCUGAUUGCAGUGAGUCAGUAUCAUGGAGGCAGGCUGCGGGGCUGCCGCAGCAGUGGGGAUCUCAGCACUAACACUGCCCGGAGCUCUGACUGCGUCCAGCCAUGAUGUCCUGGACAGACAUGCACGGAUCGAGUACUUGGCCCGCGUGACCUGGCUUUAACCACGGCAGCAGGCGGUUGUGGAUUAGCCAAUUUUGGGUAUUCGUAAUAUGUGGGUGAUUUGCGGAAGGGAUGUUAAAAUCAGCUCUUUAAUUUACUGUUAAGAACUAUUUCUUGUAUGCAAUCCAAUUUUUUGCAUUUGAGGUUGGGUAUGCAUUUCCUUCAAUGCCAUUAUAGCCUGUCA